CAAUAGCGUAUAUUAAAGUUGUUGCGGUUAAAAGCUCGUAGUUGGAUUUCUGCUGAGGACGACCGGUCCGCCCUCUGGGUGAGUAUCUGGUUCGGCCUGGGCAUCUUCUUGGAGAACGUAUCUGCACUUGACUGUGUGGUGCGGUAUCCAGGACUUUACUUGAGGAAAUGAGAGUGUUUUCAAGCAGGCGCCUGUCGUGAAUACGUUAGCAUGGAAUAAUAGCAUGGGACCGCGGUCUGAAGCUGUUGGUUUUUGGGCCGUGGUAAUUGAAAAUAGGAUAGUUGGGGUAUCGUAUUUAACUGUCAGAGGUGAAAUUCUUGGAUUUUUAAAGACUGGACUA
rnacentral:rRNA from 1 species